rnacentral:rRNA from 1 species
UACGGGGGGGGCAAGCGUUGUUCGGAAUUACUGGGCGUAAAGGGUUUGUAGGUGGCUUGCUCAGUCAGACGUGAAAUCCCUCAGCUUAACUGGGGAACUGCGUCUGAUACUAGCGAGCUUGAGUGCAGGAGAGGAACGCGGAAUUCCUGGUGUAGCGGUGAAAUGCGUAGAUAUCUGGAGGAACACCGGUGGCGAAGGCGGCAUCCUGGACCAAUUCUGACACUGAGGAGCGAAAGCCAGGGGAGCAAACGGG